AGCGAACGCUGGCGGCAGGCUUAACACAUGCAAGUCGAACGCUCGUAGCAAUACGGGAGUGGCAGACGGGUGAGUAACGCGUGGGAAUAUGCCUUUUGGUUCGGAAUAACUCAGGGAAACUUGAGCUAAUACCGGAUAAGCCCGAGAGGGGAAAGAUUUAUCGCCAAAAGAUUAGCCCGCGUCCGAUUAGCUUGUUGGUGAGGUAAUGGCUCACCAAGGCGACGAUCGGUAGCUGGUCUGAGAGGAUGAUCAGCCACAUUGGGACUGAGACACGGCCCAAACUCCUACGGGAGGCAGCAGUGGGGAAUAUUGGACAAUGGGCGCAAGCCUGAUCCAGCCAUGCCGCGUGAGUGAUGAAGGCCUUAGGGUUGUAAAGCUCUUUUGUCCGGGAAGAUAAUGACUGUACCGGAAGAAUAAGCCCCGGCUAACUUCGUGCCAGCAGCCGCGGUAAUACGAAGGGGGCUAGCGUUGCUCGGAAUCACUGGGCGUAAAGCGCACGUAGGCGGAUCUUUAAGUCAGAGGUGAAAUCCCAAGGCUCAACCUUGGAACUGCCUUUGAUACUGGGGAUCUCGAGUCCGGAAGAGGUGAGUGGAACUCCGAGUGUAGAGGUGAAAUUCGUAGAUAUUCGGAAGAACACCAGUGGCGAAGGCGGCUCAC
rnacentral:rRNA from 1 species